rnacentral:rRNA from 1 species
UACGUAGGGUGCGAGCGUUAAUCGGAAUUACUGGGCGUAAAGCGUGCGCAGGCGGUUUUGUAAGUCAGAUGUGAAAUCCCUCGGCUUAACCGGGGAACUGCGUCUGAUACUGGAUGGCUUGAGUGUGGGAGAGGGAUGCGGAAUUCCAGGUGUAGCGGUGAAAUGCGUAGAUAUCUGGAGGAACACCGGUGGCGAAGGCGGCAUCCUGGACUACUACUGACGCUGAGGAGCGAAAGCCAGGGGAGCAAAGCGGG